rnacentral:rRNA from 1 species
GAUGAACGCUAGCUACAGGCUUAACACAUGCAAGUCGAGGGGAAACGAUGAGAGAGCUUGCUCUCUUAGGCGUCGACCGGCGCUCGGGUGAGUAACGCGUAUCCAACCUACCCAUUACAGGGGGAUAACCUUGCGAAAGUAAGACUAAUACCCCAUGGCAUUUUAUGGUGGCAUCAUUAUAGGAUUAAAGAUUUAUUGGUAAUGGAUGGGGAUGCGUCUGAUUAGCUUGUUGGCGGGGUAACGGCCCACCAAGGCAACGAUCAGUAGGGGUUCUGAGAGGAAGGUCCCCCACAUUGGAACUGAGACACGGUCCAAACUCCUACGGGAGGCAGCAGUGAGGAAUAUUGGUCAAUGGGCGAGAGCUUGAACCAGCCAAGUAGCGUGCAGGAUGACGGCCCUAUGGGUUGUAAACUGCUUUUAUAGGGGAAUAAAGUGAGCUACGUGUAGUUUAUUGCAUGUACCCUAUGAAUAAGGACCGGCUAAUUCCGUG